CCUACGGGAGGCUGCAGUGAGGAAUAUUGGUCAAUGGGCGGAAGCCUGAACCAGCCAAGUAGCGUGCAGGAUGACGGCCCUACGGGUUGUAAACUGCUUUUAUACGGGAAUAACGCGCCUUACGUGUAGGGCUUUGCAUGUACCGUAUGAAUAAGGACCGGCUAAUUCCGUGCCAGCAGCCGCGGUAAUACGGAAGGUCCGGGCGUUAUCCGGAUUUAUUGGGUUUAAAGGGAGCGUAGGCCGCAUGUCAAGCGUGCUGUGAAAUGUCCGGGCUCAACCCGGGCCUUGCAGCGCGAACUGGCGAGCUUGAGUCCGCGGAAAGCAGGCGGAAUUCGUCGUGUAGCGGUGAAAUGCUUAGAUAUGACGAAGAACCCCGAUUGCGAAGACAGCUUGCUGCAGCGGAACUGACGCUGAUGCUCGAAAGCGCGGGUAUCGAACAGGAUUAGAUACCCCGGUAGUC
rnacentral:rRNA from 1 species